ensembl:lncRNA
GUAGCUUGGUUUUCCCUUUUGCUGUGUUCUCGUUAACAGUCACGCACAUUGGGACCGACGCCACGUAGCGUGCUGUGCCCCGCCCUGACCGCUUUCCCGUGGCCUGAGCUCCUUGACGGCCCUUCUCACUCAGCACGCCUGCUUCAGGGCCUGAGCAACGAUGCCCUGAGCAAGCAAUUGGCUGAGUGGAUGUUGUUAUAAUUUGAAUAGAUCUUUGUUCAUCCAUCAAUUUUAUUUUCCUUUAAUGAUUUUUUUUUUUUUUUUUUUUGGUGUGGACCGUUUUUUAAAGUCUUUAUCAAGCUCGUUACAAUGCUGCUUCUAUUUCACGUUUUGGCCUCGAGGCACGUGGAAUCAUAGCUCCACGACCAGGGAGCGAAUCUUCCCCACCAAGUUGGGAAGCCAAGUCUUAGCCGUCGGACCCCCAGGGAAGUCCCUGUUCAUCCAUAUAAACAAGACCAGCAGCUCGAUUGAAACUCCGUGGGCCUGGCACCACACGCAAAGGUUAAUGUGAGAUGGGUCCUAUUCUCACGUAGCUACACAGCCCCAUGGAGGUGUGCUCAUAGAUGCAAAGUGGGAAGGGAAGAGUUCCUCAAGAGACGUGUUGCAAGUGAGACUCUUCCUGUUUGGACCAGAAGGAAGGAGGCCAGUGAAUUCUCAGCUCAUGAAGCCUAGAGAGAAGCAAUGGGACAGCGGAACACAGCCCCAGGAGCUGGGCGAGUCUUCCCGUCCCGCCAGUCCCUCAAGUCUGAAACUAGUUCCCUCGGAGCUGAUCCAGGGAUCCGUUCCCCUGGCGCUUGGAUGCCGAUUCUUGCGUUUCCGCCGCUAUUCCAGCAUCCUGUGAGACCGCGUGCAAGAGGCUCAGGUCACGUCAUGACUCCGGGUAUUGCUGCUGUUGCUCAGCCACUGAGUCCUGUCUUACUCUUUGCGACCCCACGGGCUGCCACGCGCCAGGCUUCCGUGUCCUUCACCAUCUUCGGGGUAUGAGUGGAUCUAAUUCUAGAUGAAUCUAGAACAUGUAAGCAAACAACACAGUGAAAGUGUUGGUUCUCAUCACAGACUGAACAAACCCAGAUGGAAAUGCUGGGCUGAGACUGAGGGGGAAAGGGGAGGGUAAGAGGACAGCCCAGUGUCUUCAUUCCCACGCAUCACCGCACAGAGGAUCAAGCACGGGAAGUCUGGGACUCAUGGCCCAGGAAACUGAGGGCACGGGAACUUGACAGGAGCUGGAUCCAGAGCCCACAGCUGUAUCC